GACGUAGGGCGCGAGCGUUGUCCGGAUUUAUUGGGCGUAAAGAGCUCGUAGGCGGCUUGUCGCGUCGACCGUGAAAACUCGCAGCUCAACUGCGAGCCUGCGGUCGAUACGGGCAGGCUAGAGUUCGGUAGGGGAGACUGGAAUUCCUGGUGUAGCGGUGAAAUGCGCAGAUAUCAGGAGGAACACCGAUGGCGAAGGCAGGUCUCUGGGCCGAUACUGACGCUGAGGAAGCGAAAGCGUGGGGAGCGAACAGG
rnacentral:rRNA from 1 species